rnacentral:rRNA from 1 species
ACACUCCUGCGUGAGGCAGCAGUGGGGAAUUUUGGACAAUGGGCGAAAGCCUGAUCCAGCAAUGCCGCGUGAGUGAAGAAGGCCUUCGGGUUGUAAAGCUCUUUUGUCAGGGAAGAAACGGUGAAAGCUAAUAUCUUUUGCUAAUGACGGUACCUGAAGAAUAAGCACCGGCUAACUACGUGCCAGCAGCCGCGGUAAUACGUAGGGUGCAAGCGUUAAUCGGAAUUACUGGGCGUAAAGCGUGCGCAGGCGGUUUUGUAAGUCUGAUGUGAAAUCCCCGGGCUCAACCUGGGAAUUGCAUUGGAGACUGCAAGGCUAGAAUCUGGCAGAGGGGGGUAGAAUUCCACGUGUAGCAGUGAAAUGCGUAGAUAUGUGGAGGAACACCGAUGGCGAAGGCAGCCCCCUGGGUCAAGAUUGACGCUCAUGCACGAAAGCGUGGGGAGCAAACAGGAUUAGAAACCCCGGUAGUCCCAU